GCGUGGUGCCUGGUGUGUACUGGUGCCUGGUGUGUACUGGUCUCUGGGAAGGUCAGAGGCAGCAGAUCCUCUGGAAUUGGAGUGACAGGCAGUUAUGAGUCACUCAGCUCGUGUGCUGGAAUCUGGCUGAGCUCAGGUCCUCUACAAGGAUGGUAUAACCACCGAGCCAUCUCUGCAGCCUGUUUUCUUAAUGACUGUUGUCCUGGCUGCAGUGAGAUGGAAUCGUAGUGUGCUUCUGAUUCACUCUUCUUUGAUGGGCGGUGAAGUUAGCUGGUCAGUUCUUUUCAAGUCUCUUGGCCAUUUGCAUUCCAUCCCUGUGAACUCUCCUCAGUUCACUGGCCUGGUUUUUUGUUUUUUUUUUGUUUUUUGUUUUUUGUUUUUUUUGACCAGAUGAUUAUGCAAAUACAUGGAUACGGAAGAGUAUAUCCUCCCAAAUGACCCAUGGUUCACUAAGGAAGUCAGAGAGGGAAAUAAAGAGUUGACAGAGAGCUGGUAAGAUGGUUCAAUGGUUAGAGGGUCUUAAUCAUUUGUUUUCAUUUACUGAUCUGGAGUUUGAUAUCUCUUACUCUAUUGAAGGUAGGAAGUGCAUCAUUCCUUCCGUGAUCCCUCUGGCUUUUUUUUAAUGCAUUAACCUGCAGACUACUUUCAGCGUGUCGCCUAGGUUUGGAUGCAGUCACCUGCAGACUACUUUCAGUGUGUCGCCUAGGUUUGGAUGUGCUGAGCUUUCUUUUUCAGUUAGCUCUAGAAAGCUUUUAAUUCCUUUCUUCUUGAUUUCUUAAGCAACCGAUUCAUCAUGCAGUAGAGUGUGGUUUAAUACCCAGGGUAUUUGUGUGCAUUCUAAUUUUUCUUCUUGUUGAUUUCUAGCUCUCUUCUAA
rnacentral:lncRNA from 1 species